rnacentral:rRNA from 1 species
AGUCUGGUGCCAGCAGCCGCGGUAAUUCCAGCUCCAAUAGCGUAUAUUAAAGUUGUUGUGGUUAAAAAGCUCGUAGUUGGAUCUCAGUUCGAGUCAGGCGGUCCACUUGCCAGUGGCUACUGCCUGACUGAACACUUUACCGAGUUGUCCUAUGGUGUUCUUCACCGAGCGUCAUAGGCGAUCGGUACGUUUACUUUGAAAAAAUUAGAGUGCUCAAAGCAGGCGUAACGCCCGAAUAAUGUUGCAUGGAAUAAUGGAAUAGGACCUCGGUUCUAUUUUGUUGGUCUUCGGAAUCAGAGGUAAUGAUCAAUAGGGACAGACGGGGACAUUCGUAUUGCGGCGCUAGAGGUGAAAUUCUUGGACCGUCGCAAGACGAACUAAAGCGAAAGCAUUUGUCAAGAAUGUUUUCAUUAAUCAAGAACGAAAGUUAGAGGUUCGAAGGCGAUCAGAUACCGCCCUAGUUCUAACCAUAAACGAUGCCAACCAGUAAUUCGUCUGAGUUCCUUAAAUGACUCGACGAGGGACUUCCGGGAAACCAAAGUCUUUCGGUUCCAGGGGAAGUAUGGUUGCAAAGCUGAAACUUAAAGAAAUUGACGGAAGGGCACCACCAGGAGUGGAGCCUGCGGCUUAAUUUGACACAACACGGGAAAACUCACCCGGCCCGGACACUGGAAGGAUUGACAGAUUGAGAGCUCUUUCUUGAUUCAGUGGGUGGUGGUGCAUGGCCGUUCUUAGUUGGUGGAGUGAUUUGUCUGGUUAAUUCCGAUAACGAACGAGACUCUAGCCUACUAAAUAGAUCGUCGGCUUACAAACGCCGGCGAGACUUCUUAGAGGGACAGGCGGUGAUUCAACCGCACGAAACAGAGCAAUAACAGGUCUGUGAUGCCCUUAGAUGUCCGGGGCCGCACGCGCGCUACACUGAAGUGAUCAGCGUGCUUUUUCAACCUACUCUGUCAAGAGUGGGGAACCCAAUGAACCUUCUUCGUGAUUGGGAUAGGGGAUUGUAAUUAUUCCCCUUGAACGAGGAAUUCCCAGUAAGCGCGAGUCAUAAGCUCGCGUUGAUUACGUCCCUGCCCUUUGUACACACCGCCCGUCGCUACUACCGAUUGAAUGUUUUAGUGAGGUCUUCGGACUGGCCGGCGCAGCACUCUCGUAGUGCAGCGCUGUGUUUGGAAAGAUGCCCAAACUUGAACAUUUAGAGGAAGUAAAAGUCGUAACAAGGUUUCCGUAGGUGAACCUGCGGAAG